AACCUAUAUCAAGAAAAGAUGGAAAGUGUAUCUUUUCAACUAGCUCAUCCUAGGGUUUUCUGACUGUCUGUCUGUACCUACCUCUCCAUUUAUCUCAUCUAUCCUGGUGCCCUGAGUGGGGACUGAUUAUCCCGUGCCUUGUUUGGACUACAUUUAGCUCACCAACAGAAUCCAGAGAAAGCACAGCAACACACCCAAAGGAUGAAAAAUGAAGGGAAAAGAAUGAAAUAAGGGGAAAAAACAUUUCAAAGCAACAUCAAUACGGAGUGGGGGUCUUCCACUGAGAUUUGAUUGCCUUCAAAUGGAAUUGGCUACGAACAGUCUAAGAGAAAACCUCAAUAUGCUGUAAUAAAUUUUUGAGGAGAUGGAUGGCUCCAGUGCAAGUUAUUGCAGAGAGAAGGGAGUUGCUAAUGAUUUGCUGAAAUCACUGCAGCCUGUGCUGCUACACCAGAGGGCAGAGAGAGAGGAGCAGCAGCAUGCAGCAUUAACAACAAUAGGAAUAACAUUGGCAACAACAACCAAAUGAGGCUUUCAUUUAUACAUUGCAUUUAGAAAUGCAAUGAGCUAUAUAGAAAGAACAUACAUUGGUACUGAUUGAGGGAGGAAAUAUAGGAAAGAAAUGCAUGAGCAGUGGAAUCUCUGUUGCUGCAGAUUUUCCACAGUCUUCCUCCAUCUGAGAAAAAAAAAUCAAUUUUGCUCAUUCCCUUUUGCCCAGAUCCUGCUAAGGGCCAGACGUGAACAGAAUCAGGUUUCCAAGUGAGUAUCCCAAGCAGCCAAGGGGGAACUAUGUGUGCCCACCCAUGCUGCACACACACACACACACACACACACACACACACACACACACACACACACACACACACACUUCCAGUUUGUCCCAGCAGCUAGAAUUGCACAUACCUUGUAUAGCCCUGAAAAAUAGAAUUGGAAUUACAUUGGAAGGGAAAGCAAGGGCUUGAUCCUGUUCUCACAAUUCCCCCCUUCACUGAAUCAGCCUUUUCUUUUUAAAAUAUGUAAAAUACACAUCUCUUUUUAAAGUACGUGAUUUUGCAUACAUGUCUUCUAAUAGAUCAAUUUGUGCACAUUUUCCCCAUGUACACAAUUUUGCACACUCCUUUAAUCAGAUAGCUGCAUCACAAAAUUUGAAUGAGUGCAAAGAAAGAGCGAUAAUUGCAUUCCUUUCUCUAUAUUCAUUUGGGAAAUGUGAAUUAGGUCACUUUGUAUUAAAAUGUAAAUCAAAUGGGCUUUCUCUACCUCUGUUUACAGUGCUAAGCUGUGGCUCCAUCUGUAUUCACUGAUGAUUUGAAGCCUGAUUUUUUACUUCCUUGCCAACAUGUGAGAAAGUGAUAGCUUUAAUCAAAGGUGACUUGGGAUUGCAUGUUGACCUCAAUGUUUCAGUCAUUUCCACAGACAAAAUAUGGCGUUUGUCUCCCUGUGAUGUGAGUGAUGAUCGUGGUGGUGGUGUCGAUAACAUUGAUGCUGAUGAGAAUGGGAAUGGUGGUGGUGGUGAGGACCAUAGUGGCUGUAAUAAACAUGGUAUAGAUAGUUAAGAUUAACAGGGAAGGGGGAGAGGAGGAGAAUGUGGCAAUGAUUAUGAUAGUGGUAGUGAUAAUAGUCAUUGUCCUGUAUCAUAUGACAAGCUCGGAAACAAAUCAGCAACCAAAUCAAUCAAAGAAGAAUGGAAAGAAUUGAUGUGUUAUUGAAGUAGUCUUGGUCCUAAAGCACAAUCCAUGCUUCAAGCAGGGUCAAAAGCCACUCAGGGAGUAACCAAAAGGAAAAGUCCAAAAAACAAGCCAACACUGAGAAAAAUAGAAAACAGGAACUAUCACGAUGAAGACAGUGGAACUAUUGUUCUGCAGCACAGAUGAUGUUAUUAUCAUGGCAUUUUCCUUUUAAGGCAGGGCACACCUUUGUCUGCACUUUGGUUGCUCUAGCUUUAGUCUGAGCCCUCAAAGGACAAAAUAGCUGAGCCUCCAACUCAAUCUCUUCAAGGUCAGCUUAUGAAGACUCAGGCUCUGCUUCCUAUGACUGUGACAGGAGCCUAUAAUGUGGACUAAGCUCUUCCCAUUCUGUUUCUUCAGAUAGUCAUCAGCGGGGGGAAAAUCUAUUCCAUUCACCUCUUCAAAGAAGCAAAAGUGAUUGGGGAAAAGGUGAAUGGAUGCAUCAGCAGGCAACUGAGACUUACUUCUGACAACAAUUAAUUUGGUACCUGUCUUCCUUUGCCUGAGUAGAACACCUGGAGAUGGCAUGCAGGAAGAGGAGGCAGGAUCCAUGGGGCAGCUGACAUUUCUGCAGCAGGAUAGGGAAAGCCUAUCAUGUGAUGCGAAUGUCUGAGAAUGCUUCAGCAGAGAAUUGCCUAGAAAGCAAACGCUACUGUAAGCAACACCUUGCAUUCAUAGAAAAUCCCAUGAUAGGCUUGUUUAAAGAUCAAAAACAACUUGAAGACACAACAACAACAACAACAACAACAACAACAACAACAACAACAACAAAGGCAGAGGAGGAGUCUCUGGCCUCUGGAGGACCUGAAUCAACCUGUGGAGGUAUUUGGAACAUUCUUGCUUCAGAGCACAGACGAGACAAGAGGCAUAUAACUGUGGUGUUUGUUGUUGUAUCAUUCGUCAUUUCUGACUUAUAGCAAUUCUACAGUCAACCAAUUAUGGGUUGUUGUUGGGGUUUUUUUGGCAGGGUUUGUUCAAUUUGUACUCCUGAGGCUGAAAGAGCGUGACUUGGCCAAGGUCACCCAAUGGGUUUCUGUGAGUGAGCAGAUAUUUGAAUGGUGGUCUUCAGAGUCAUUGUUCAAACUUCAAACCAUUUCAACAUGCUGGCUCUCCAUCCAGUGGGAUAUUUAUCUAGUCUGAUACCAAAAACCAUUAUGUCAUAUUAGUCUUCUAAUCAAGGUUUCUUGUACCUAAUAACUUUCUUUAAAGGCAAAGCUGUAAUUCCCUUUCAGGCAUAAUGAGAAAUGGUUUAACCCAUUUUGCCAUGUAAUUAUAACUUUUAGAUACAAAUUAUGUUUCUGUUGUUUUAAAAUUAGUACAGAAGAAACCAACAUGUCAUAUGAUUCUGGAGCAUGAAGCCAUGAAGACCAGCUUCAUGACCCUGGACAAGUCACAACCCUUAGCCUCCGAAAACCCUGUGAAAGGCAUUUUUCAGUUUUAUCUUAGGGCUCUUUCAUACCACAUAAUUAUAAUGUUAUGAUUCCACUGUAAAUGUCAACAUAACAUCCUAGAGAAUCCUGGGAUUUGAGGCAUAGGGAGAAACAAUGAGAAUUGUUAGUGAAAGAUCUUUUGUGUUUCAAACAAACUAUAAAUCCCAUAAUUCUAUGGGAUGCAGCCAUGAAAACUGAAACGGAAUCAUGGUGCUAUAAUUGUGUAAAUGUAAAAGGGUCCUAGUAUGGAUGUACAGAAAUGUACAAUUUUGCAACAUUGAUAAUUUGCCUAUUUUCCAUUCUUCUGGAUGAUACGAGUUUGUAGUUCUCUCAAACAGUCAAGUGCUUGGUUUGGUCCAGUUUUAUGUUUUAUGGUACUAUAUACCCUACUUCUUUCUGAUUCAAUUUUUCCAUAAUGUUUCAAUUUUUUCUGAUAGCAGAUGUUCUCUAUUUUAGGUUUAUGCAGUGCAAACUAUCAGUAAUAGCUUAAUGGACAUGCUGGAAUGUGCCCCCAGGAACCUUUUGGAAGCAAAUUUAAUUUUUAAGAGAAAAGAGAUUGGCAGUCUCCUUGAAAAUAUGCACUUAAGCCUGUGGUUUAAAAAAAGUUCAUGCCAUGUUACUCAAACCAUUUGAUGCUGUUGCUGUUUAACUUCACCAUGAGAUAGAAACAAUAAAACGUUAUAUUUGGGGAACUAUUUUUA